rnacentral:lncRNA from 1 species
UUAGUGUGUUCUUAGAUACUGCAGGAGAAAUUCUAACAAAAAAAGAUGACCAACAUCUUCAAAUAUUAAAUAACUAGCUUCUGGGAGGUGAAUUACAGUAGAAUAAAGGACCAUCCUUGGGUAUAUACAUAAUGAAAAACUUUGACAAAUAUCCUCACUGUGUGGUAUUGACAAACAUUCAUUGCUCUGAACUAUAAUAAAAGGUUACACGCUUUUGUUUGCAUUGUAUUAUAAUGUUAAUGAAAUAACAAUGAUCUUUUUGCAGAAUUCUAGUUCAGUUAUGUAUAUAUAUAUUUUCUAUUUUCUCCCUCAGGAAAUAACCAAAACCAAUCCUAGAAUGUAAGUUAGGCCCUAGUUAUCAAUUCAUCAUUCUCUUUUCAAUCAUUCUCAACAGCAAUUAAGCGGAAUUAACAUCCUUGAAAAUUAAGUUGUUUUCCAGCAGUCUCAACAGAAGCUAUAUACAAAAAUGACAAAUUGAGAAAAUGCGACCCAUGAGAAAGCAAUGAAGGACUUGGACUUGCUUAAUCUAGGACAGAGAAAGGCUGUUCUUCCAUAGUUGCAGAAUUAACAAGGAGAACAGACCUACCUCACCUCCCUCCCUGGACCAUUGGAGAACUGGAACUGGAGAUGCAAGAAAAAUAGAGCACUGCAGCAAGAAGAAAAAAUCUUUCCAAGUUUACAAAUGAAAAAUAUGGUGUGUAUUUGACAUAUUAUUAAAGCCACAAUUUAAUAUGGAUUAUAUGGAUUUGCGCAGCUGGGACAGCCAUGAUAUUAUGACCUUCAAGAAACUGAUUUAUGCUACUGGUAGUUUUGCUGCUUCCUUCAGGAACAUGAAUCUUUUUCAGCUUUGUUUAUUUUUGCUGGAUAAGAGAACUUCAGCCAUCAAGCUUAUCAACAGAUGGUUUAGUUGCUGA